AACGAACGCUGGCGGCAGGCUUAACACAUGCAAGUCGAGUGCCCCGCAAGGGGAGCGGCAGACGGGUGAGUAACGCGUGGGAAUCUACCCAUCUCUACGGAAUAAAGCAUGGAAACGUGUGCUAAUACCGUAUACGUCCUUCGGGAGAAAGAUUUAUCGGAGAUGGAUGAGCCCGCGUUGGUUUAGCUAGUUGGUGGGGUAUAGGACUACCAAGGCGACGGUGCAUAGCUGGUCUGAGAGGAUGAUCAGCCACACUGGGAAUGAGACACGGCCCAGACUCGUACGGGAGUAAGCAUUGGGGAAACUUGGACAAUGGGCGCAAGCCUAAUCCAGCCAUGCCGCGUGAGUGAUGAAGGCCCUAAGGUUGUAAAGCUCUAUCACCGGUGAAGAUAAUGACGGUAACCGGAGAAGAAGCCCCGGCUAACUUCGUGCCAGCCGCCGCGGUAAAAC
rnacentral:rRNA from 1 species